CAACUCUGGACUUUUUGGCCCUGCUCUUGACGAAGUUUGCAAAGAUAUCCACAAGCCAUCAUCGCAAGAGUAUAAAACACCAGAGGAGGCAGAGGAAGAAGACGAAGAAGUGUUUAGUUGGAUUGCAGCUGCAAUAGGAUUUGGACCUGGCAUUGUAUUUGGACUGACGAUUGGAUUCAUACUGGUUUUAUACAAACCGAGGUGGUUCACGAGUCCUUUUGGUCGAAACAAACGCAGAAGCAGAAGCACCACAACUCAUUAAGAGAGGUAAUGUUUUGAAUUUGAUAGAUUAAAGACUAUUGUAUAGUAUAAUGAAUUUUUCUGGGUUAAUGUAUACUGUAUGUGAAAAUUAACGCUGUUUUUGUUUGUAUAGCGUUCUUAAACCCAAGAUGAAGAAUCUUUGAAAAACAGAAUGAAGCAACCAGACCAUAGGUAGAGAAGAAGCUUGGGGGAGAAGGCAACUCAUUUUAUCAAAGUCUAAAUAUCAGUGAUUGUUUUUGGUUUAGUUUGGUGUGUUUAUCAUAUACUCUGUUUUUAGCCAAUGUUUGUGUUUCUCUGUAAUUGAACAAUGAAAGAUUGUUUACAAAGCUCAAACUUAUUCUUAUUUAUUAGAUAAACAUGAUUUGAGAGAGGUAAUAAUGUUCUUGCUCCGACUAAAUCAAUUAUUCUUCUGCCAAAUGAAGAACUAAGAUUCAACACACAUCUCAGAACAUUGAUCCUUAUUCUCUUUUGGUAAUAUUAAUUAGCUGAGUAAAAUGAUAACUUACUUAGCUUAUUGACAGAUAUUUCACUUAGCAGAUAGAUAUAUUAGUUAGCUGCGAUCAAGAUCACCGACCAGUUAAAGCUAUAGAUAUACAGGCUUAAAACCCAAGCUUUGCCAUCAGAAUGAGAGAAAAAAAAUCAUCUCACAAAUCAUUCCACUUUCCAACUACUGAAACUCUUCAAUAGUCAAAUGACUCAAAUCUGAAUAAGAGAGUAUACAUACACACAUACUUAAGUCCUAAAUCUUGUUUAUAAAUGUAACAAAAAUAACCCAUCAUUUUUAACCAAAAACAUUGAACGAAGAAAUUACCCUAUGUUUAUCUGAUAUGAUUGUGAUGUAUCUGCCAUCACCAAGUCCUAAAUCUUGUUUAAGGUGAUUAACGAACCAUCCCCAGUUGAUGUCGUUUUCGAUCUCCACUACUGCCCACGCUAUAGGAACAAUUCUAUUAUCUCCAUCCCUUCCAACUGCAGCUAUCAAUAGGCCUUUAACAUCCCAUUUAAGGAAUGCACCAUCUAGUCCUAUGAUAGGUCUGCAAUGUGUUUUCCAAGUGACUCGUUGUGCUUCAAAACAGACAUAAAUACGAUCAAACCUUUGCUUGCUUCCGGGUGUUGGCCCUGGAAUAGUCUGAAUAUCCAUAAUGGUUCCUUUAUUAGUCUUAUGAAUCUCUGCUUCGUAAUCCCAGAUUCGAGCAAAAUGUGUUCCAUGGCCUGCUCGUCUUUGCCUAGUAAUUUUGGUCUAAAUUACUAGGCUAGGUCAGUAUCUAAUUUGGCUAGGUCAAUAUAAGUUCGGGUGUUUUUUGGCUUAUUACAAAGUUUGUAUUUUUUUUUGGCAAAAUCAUAUAAGUUUGGUAUUUAGAUGACCGAUUUCCCUACACACAUACUUAAGGGUCACGAUGACAAAAUCUUCGGUUUAACCAAUAAGAGUAUUCAUCAAAAGACAUCUUAUAAACCAAUGGAUUAUAUUUUAAAAACUUGGUGAAAACAAACAAGAAAUUUAUCAAUAAAAUACAAGAACACUGGGUCAAUAACUGCUUAAUUCUUUUUUUUUUUUAAAAAAACAAAAGGUAAAUGAUGCAAUUGAUAGUAUAAUCUACACUACUCUAUACUCCACUGUUUUACUUUUUUUAUUUUAAGUACACAACUUUUUGUUAUUUUUUAUUCUUGGGAGAUGUAUAUCCUAUAAACAAAACUGUGUUAAAUGGAAGGACUUGAUAGACACCAAAACCAGAAGAGAAACGAAAACAAACGGCUCAAACUUGACAGUAUAAAAUAUCUACUGUUAAAACAUCAUCCAAAAUUUAUAAAUUAACGAUUGAGAAAUAUUUUGAUAAAAAAUAUAAUUCGAUAAUAUUGAUCAGAUUACAGCAUCACAAAGUCAGUGAACAAAUCAUAUAAAACAAACUUGAAUAAAGAAAAUUGUAUCAUGCCAAUUGCCAAAAGAAACCAAACAAAUAAAUAGAUAACAGAAAGUAGAAACAUUGACUGACCGAUUACUAAGUUCUGGACAAAAGACGAAGACUUGAAAAGUCAACUUCAGUCUUCUUCCUUAUUGUCCCACCAAUAAUUUUACUUUUUCUCCUUCAAUCUCAUCUUCUUCCUCAAUCCUCUGAACAUCGACCACAUGUUUCUUCAUCCAUUGACCUCAAAUACUUGAUUUUCACUAUCGACUCUCUUUCUUUCUCUCUCUCUCUAGAUUUUCCGUCAAAGCUAUGGAGAAACUCUGUCUUCGAAACUCUGUUUCUCUCAUGACGAUGGUGGUUAUUGUUCUUCUUCCUCGUUGCACUCUUUCUACUACUUCUACAUAUUCUCGUCCCGAGAAGUUGUACGUCAACUGUGGGUCGGAUUCUAAUGUCACUUACGGUAACCGGACUUUUGUCGGAGAUAUGAUCUCUGGUGGUAACUCCGUUUCAUUCACCAAGAAAGGAACUGAAGCCAUCAACCAAUCAGGAUCAGGAAUCUACGAAAUGGUUAGGAUAUUCACAAGCCCUUCUUCUUACAAGUUCCAACUCGAUUCCGUUGGUCUGCACUUCGUGCGUCUCCAUUUCUCUGCUGUCUCUUCUCGGACACAGCUUUUAGCUGCUCGUUUCACAAUCUCAGCUACUUCUCACUUGAAAAGUUUCUCGCUUCAGAAUUUCAAUGAGACCCCACGAGUUGAGGAGUUUCUCCUGAUGAUUGACUCGCCGGAAUUCGAAAUUCGAUUUGUGCCCGAUCAUUCAUCCAUGGCUUUCGUCAACGCCAUCGAAGUGUUCUCUGCUCCAGAUGACCUAGAAAUUCCGUCAGACUCCGACAAGAAUCUGCAUACGGUUUACAGAUUAAACGUAGGAGGCAAGAAGAUCACACCAGAAAACGACACCUUGGGAAGAACUUGGUCAUUAGACGAUGACUUCCUCUACGAAAAAGAUUCUGCGAGGAACAUUAACUCAACACAAAAGCCUAACUAUGAGUCAGGAACAGUGACGCAAUUCACUGCUCCUGAUUUCGUCUAUCAGACAGCUAAAACGAUGAACCAUAGCUCGAACGAGGGGGUGGUAGAGGGAAUGUUGAUGAACGUCACUUGGUCAUUUAAGGUCAAAAGCAGCUCAAGACACUUCAUCAGGGUUCACUUCUGUGAUAUCAAGAGUGAAUCACAAAAUCCCGACUCCGAUUUCUAUCUCUAUGUAAACGGACAAUCACGACUAGAUGUAAAGCCUUCAGAGCGUAUUAGGUUGGUGACUCCGUUUUUCAAAGAUGUGAAUGUCUCUGAUGGUUUUGGACUCUUGAAUGUUACAAUAGGUACUAAGGAUUCCACUAAGGAUGCUGGUUUUCUGAAUGGUCUGGAGGUGAUGGAGUUUUUGAAAAAGUCAGAUUCUUCAGAUAAAAGUAGUUUCCGGGUUUACAUCAUUGCUGGCUGUGUUGUUGCUGCAUCGGUUCUGGUAUUGAGUUUGUUGUUCACAGUUUUCUUGAAGCGGAGGAGAUUGAAGAAGGAAAAGAAGUUAGACGCUGAGGUCACUGAAUGGUCUCCUUUGCCAUUGUACAGAGGUGGUGGGAGUUCCGACAAUAGACCUUCUGAUCCGGUCAACAAUUCUCCAUUACGCAGCAAUAGAACUUUUGAUCCGGUCAACAAUUCGCCAUUACGCAACCUAAACUUAGGCUUGACCAUUCCCUUCAUAGACAUUAUGAGAGCUACAAACAAUUUCGACGAGCAGUGGUUGAUCGGGAGAGGCGGUUUCGGAGACGUUUACAAAGCCAUUCUUCAAGAUGGAAGCAAAGCGGCUAUCAAGAGAGGCAAGAGUGGUUCAGGACAAGGAAUAUUGGAGUUUCAAACAGAGAUUCAAGUCCUGUCGAGAAUCCGGCACAGGCACCUCGUUUCUCUAACGGGUUACUGCGAAGAGAACUCGGAAAUGAUCCUUGUCUACGAGUUUAUGGAGAAAGGUACGCUUAAGGAGCAUCUAUAUGGCUCGGAUUUGCCUUCACUGACAUGGAAACAGAGACUAGAGAUCUGCAUCGGAGCAGCCAGAGGUUUGCAUUAUCUCCACAGUGGCUCAGAAGGAGCAAUCAUUCACAGAGAUGUCAAAUCCACAAACAUACUACUAGACGAGAACACCGUAGCCAAAGUUGCCGAUUUCGGGCUCUCAAAACUCGCGGUUCGUAAUCAAGAUCCGAUUAAUAUCAGCACUAACAUCAAAGGAACAUUCGGUUACCUCGAUCCUGAGUAUCUGCAGACACACAUCUUGACGGAGAAAUCAGAUGUUUACGCUUUUGGAGUCGUUCUCCUCGAGGUCUUGUGCGCGAGAUCGGCUCUCGAUCCUUCUCUUCCUCACGAGGAAGUGAAUCUAGCCGAGUGGGCGAUGUUCUGCAAAUCCAAAGGGAUAAUCGAUGAGAUCUUAGAUCCGAAAUUGAUAGGUCAGAUCGAGCCGAGUUCGUUGAGGAAAUACAUGGAAAUCGCGGAGAAGUGUUUGAAAGAGUACGGAGACGAGAGGCCGAGCAUGGGGGAUGUGAUCUGGGAUCUGGAGUAUGUUCUUCAGCUUCAGAUGAUGCCGAUUCGCAGAGAGCCUCAUGAGGAUAGCGCCGCGACGAUCUCCGGCGGCGGAGGCGAAAGCUCGUUGGUGAUUCCGAGGUUGAUGGUGAGUGAUUCGUUUAGCUCAAACUCGAUUGUUCAGAAGAACGAAGGGAAGAGCAGCUAUGGAGGUACAGAUUCAUCGGAGAGUCGAGUUUUCUCCCAAUUGAAGAUCUCCGAAGCAAGAUAAAACGUUCUGAUUUGAAAAGCGUCUGGUUUAAAGCUUUUGAUAUUAAAAACCGGUUAUUGCCGGUUUAAAUUUAUUCAUUUAAAACAGAUGCAAAGUAAACUAGUCAAGGGACUGUAAUAUAAAAAUUAAAACUCGGUUAUCUUCGGUUUAAAGUUAAUUAUUCUAAGACAGAUGCAAAUUUCCGAAUCGAAAAUACAAAUCAAUUUGAUUAACCGAUAAAAACCUAAUUUCAAGAAAAAUUCUGAUUUGAUAAGUCUGGUGUAGUGUAAUUUUUGAGAUUGAAACCCGCCAGUUUAAAGAUAAUUAUUAAGUAACGAGUCAGUUGACUGAAUAUGAAAUAUAAACCCGGUUAUCUUCGGUUAAAAACUAACUAUUCUACGACAAAUGCAAAUAUCUUUACGAAAAACAAGUCAAUUUAAUUAACCGAUAAAACCUAAUUUCAAGAAAAGUUCUGAUUUGAUAAGUGACUGGUUUAGUUUUUGAAAUUAAAACCCGGUUACUGCCGGUUUAACGAGUCAACUGAUUGUGAUGUCGGCGAUGAACGAAUCCAGAUUCCGAGCCGAUGAUCCACCAGGCGCCAACGCCGAUCUCGCCGCGUACUUCAGCUCCGUCGCUCUCCUCCUCAUAUCCGCGGCGGCGGAUCCUUCCGUCACGGCCUCAAUACAUCUCUCCACCUCUUCAACCUUAAGCUCUCCGUCAACGGUGUCGUUCCUCAUCCUCACUCCGAUCCCGAACACAUCCACAAGCAAUCUCGUGUCAAGCGGCUGAUCAAUCCAGCUCGGAUACGCCACCACCGGAACACCAGUCACCACCGUCUCGACCGUCGAGUUCCAGCCGCAGUGCAUGACGAAACAAGAUAUCGCCACGUGGCUCAGUAUCCUCUCUUGUGGACCCCACUCAAUCACAAUACCUUGACCUUCUUUAACCAUCUCCUGCAAAACGUCGACGUUUUCGCCUUUCUCCUUUGGCCUAAUCACCCAGAGAAACGAAACUCCUCUGUUUCUCAGAGCCGUUGCUAUGCUCUUAACUUGAGUCUCCGAAGAUUUCAGCAAACUUCCAAAAGAAAUGUAAACAACCGAAGUAAGCCACUCCAUACUAUACUCAUCCGAUUUCCACAUAUCAAGAUUUUUACCAUCUAGGGUUUUGUCUUCUUCAUCAGCUCCCAACAGAAAUGGAGAAACCAGAGGACCAAUUGGGAUCAUGGGUUUUAAACCAGACAUCGAUUCGAUUAUCUCUGAUUCGAGCUCGUAGAACGAAUUAACCAAAACCCAUUUCACAUCUUUCAAGCAAUCGACGAACUCCACCAUUAGGCUAUUGAAAUGACUUCCUGAAGAAGGCAACAGAAACGAAGGGAGAUCUCCGACUUCCAGCAAUGGUAAACCUGGCAAUUCAACCGUUUGAUUCAAAUCUUCGAGAUUCUCGGGGAAAGCGUUCGUCUUCAUGUAGUAACGGUAAUAAACGGAGAAAGCUCCACAAGCUUCGAUCCAGAGGAUUGCACAGGGGAUGUUAUAUGCAGCUGCAACACCUGGANNNNNNNNNNNNNNNNNNNNNNNNNNNNNNNNNNNNNNNNNNNNNNNNNNNNNNNNNNNNNNNNNNNNNNNNNNNNNNNNNNNNNNNNNNNNNNNNNNNNNNNNNNNNNNNNNNNNNNNNNNNNNNNNNNNNNNNNNNNNNNNNNNNNNNNNNNNNNNNNNNNNNNNNNNNNNNNNNNNNNNNNNNNNNNNNNNNNNNNNNNNNNNNNNNNNNNNCAGUGACGAUGCAAGAGAAUCUCUUUGAUUCGACGAUUUUAGACAAGUUCUUGGCUCCUACUUUUCUCAACGAUGGUAUGAGAGAAUCCGCACCUCCUGUGUGGUCUUUAGGCAGACCGUCGGAGAAGAAAGCAAGGUCCACUAGGCUAUGGUGAUGUUCUUUGUCUGCGGUGGUGGCUGCGGUGGAGAGGAGGUCACGGGUUUUCUCGGUGGUGGCGAGAGUGAAUCGGAGGUUCGGUCUUGAGAGAUGUUUGGCGAAUUUGAGCAUUGGAUUAAGAUGAUCUUGAAAUGGUAGUGCUACCAAUAGAACAUGUGUUUCUUGACCCUCACUAUUUCUCAUUUCUGCUUUGUUUAGAGGUGUUACUUAUUAGACUUGAGUUGUGUAUGAGAUUGUGUGUAACUUGUAAUUGUGGUGGUAUAUAUAACAAUGGUUGCUUAACGAUAGAUUUUUGCUUAAAAUGAAGUUAUUAAGUGAGAUUUUGGUAAGAAAAAUCUAUAUAUAGUAAAAAUUGGUAACCCAAUAAAAUGUUGUUGAAUAGAUUCAAAAGUUACCACGUUUAUUAGCACUCUGCGCCUUGUCCUUAACUCAAUUCAAAUCUUGUAUAAUUGUUGACAAAAAAAACACGAUAUAUAUACCAAUUCUAGUAUGGUUAAAGUCAACAGUCAUUACUAAUGAUUUAUGAAUCUUUUUGUAUAGUGUGACACUGAGAUCAUUGUAAUUUGUUAAUGACAAUCUAUAAACUGUAAUUGGUAAUCCAAUAAACGUUGGUCAAUAAAUUCAAAUUUAAUCAUGUGUUUCUAUGCUCUUGUAAAUAAAUAAAUAUAUGUUAUUUUCAAUUGUGUUAUGGUUAUGAUUAGAUUUAUAUAAAAAAUAUGGUUAUGAUUAGAUUUAUAUAAAAAAAAAAACAGGUCUCAAUUCAUUCGGAUCAGUCUCGUUUGUAUUUGUCUCACUUUUAGAUUUGAAAUCCGUUAAGCUCUAUUUAGUUUUUGGAACUAACAGAGUAAUCGGUUUAUACACGCCAAAAUUCUUUUAAUCUAUUUAAAACCAUUUACGAUAUGAUGCUUAAACAUUCUUAAUAUUUAUUUUAAAUUAUAUAAACUAAGCUUUUGGAAGCUAAUCAGAAGUUAACACACCAAUAUAAUUACCAUUGUUUUUUUAUUAAAUAAUAAUUACCAAUGUUUCAAGGCAUGCUUGAAUAUUCCACUAAGAAAAAUCAUCGAAAUUGUUUAUACUAAUCUAAAAUCCUAGCAAAGGUGGGUGAAUCUUUUUUUUUAAAAUAGUUAUACAUAUUUUCGAGAUGACAAAAUUUAACAAUAUGAUAAAAUCAUAUGGACACUCGAACAUUUAUGUAGAUUUAGUUAUGUUAUAUAUCCAAGAAGAAAUGAAUAAUAUUAAGUAACAUCUAUUACAAAUAACAUAUCAAUUGGUAACAUCAGAUGGCAAAUCAAAUAACAUCAUUACGUAGUAAAUUCAUAUGCAUGCGUUACUAGCUAAGCUUGUAUUCACUUUAUAAAAGAAAAUACAAAAUAGCAAUAGCAAUAAUGAAGGGAAGAGCAGCUACGGAGGUACAGAUUCAUUGAUCGAAGAGUCGAGUUUUCUCCCAAUUGAAGAUCUCUGAAGCAAGAAAACAAAUAAUCUCUUGAAUCCUUCUGAUUUAAAUACCGACUGGUUUUAACUUUUGAUAAUAAAAUCCGGUUAUUGCCGGUUUAAAUAUAAACAUUUUUUUAAGUCGACAAAAAAAAACAUUUCAAAACAGAUGUAAAGUGAGUCAACACUAUGAUCGAUGACUUUCUAGUUGAUGAGAAACGUGCACAAAAAGAAAAGGGUAACACUAUGAUCGAUCACUUGCUUUCUCUCCAAGAAACUCAACCAAAUUAUUAUACGGAUGUCAUCGUCAAAGGACUCAUAGUUGUAAGUAUUGAGGAAUACAUUUAAUACAUCACUAACAACUAACAAGGCUAACUAAGCUUUUUAUAAUGACUAAUUCUUGACUUCUAUUUGGAUAGGUUAUGAUAUUUGCUGGAAAUGUAACAUAAACAAGAACGUUAGAAUGGGCGAUGCUAAAUCUGUUGAACCAUCCAGAAGUACUAAAGAAAGCGAGGAUUGAAAUCGAUACAAACAUUGGUUUGGACAGGUUAAUAGAUGAACAGGAUGCGAAAAGUCUUCCUUACCUCCAAUGCAUCAUAUCAGAGAUUUUUCGACUUUACCCGGCAGCUCCUUUACUUGCUCCUCAUAGGGCUACAGAUGAUUGUAUAGUUGGAGGCUACGACUUCCCUCUUGGCACGACAUUAAUCGUGAACGUAUGGGCCGGCCAUUCACCGAGACCCAAACAUAUGGUAAGAGCCAGAAAAGUUCAAGUUAGAGCGGUUCGAGAAGAAAGGAGAAGAACAAAAGUUGAUGCCGUUUGGAAUGGGACGACGAGCUUGUCCCGGGUCUGGUCUAGCUCAACGGGUCGUGAGUUUGGCUCUCGGAUCGAUGAUUCAAUGUUUUGAAUGGGAGAGACUUGGAGAAGAAUAUGUUGACCUAAGUGAAGCAACCACAAUGCGUCCAACGACGCCGUUGCUAGCCAUGUGUAGAGCUCGUCCUAUUGUUCAUAAGAUUUUCAAUGCUUCUUUUUGAGAUGUCACUCCCUUUUUAAAAAAAUAUGUAUAUCCAUUUAUGUUAUAUCCAUUUUGAGAUGUAAUUAAAAUGAAAGACAAAGACUAGUCUUUGAUUUACCUUUAGAUUUUCGAUUUUAUUAAAAUUCAAAAACUAUUUUUUUUUUCAAAAACCAAAAUUUAGAAGUUAAAGGCUACUCCAUUAUCAAAUAAACUCACUUCUAAAUUUCUAAAAUUAUGAAUGAGGAGUAGUUUUUUUUUACUUUGAGAAAGGGUGAAGAAAUUUUUCCAAUUUAUUAGUUUUUUUUUUGUUGAGGAAGGGUUAAGAAAAGGGAGCUUGUUUUAUAAUAGAAUCUCUCAUGCAAUUAUUCCACCUGUCACUAGAGAUAUGUUCAUAACUUCGUAACGUCUCAUGCAAUUACUGACUAAUAAACAUGUGUAAUAAGUCUCCAUUAAUAUUGAUAGUCUAUUUAUUUUGCUUUUAAUUAAUAGGGUUUUGAGUAGAAAUUUGUUUCUUUCUAAUAUUAUAGACAAUAUAUAUUGCUAGCGUUUACGUUUUUGGUUUAAACCAUAGUGAUUAAAAAUAAACAAAUCAUAAAUUAUUAUUAAGGGUGACCUACACAUAUUUAUUAGUCAUUAAUGAAUGAGACGUUACGAACAUAUUUUUAGUUUAUUAAAAAAAAAAGAUAUCUUUAGUGACAGGUGUGAUAAUUGCAUGAGAGUUUUCAUUAUAAACUAAGCUACAUAAACUAAUAACUUCCAUGUUCGAUUCAACACAUUUACAACAAGAAGAAGUUCUUAAUCUAAAAUGGAAACUUACUUUCUAAUUUUAUCCCUUGCCAUCUUCUUUUUCAUUUCUCUAAAACCUUUGUUUGGUAAACGGCACAGCAAGUUUAACCUACCACCAAGUCCGGCAAGGCCACUACCGUUGAUUGGACACCUUCACCUCCUGAAGCAGCCUCUCCACCGCACAUUCCUAUCCUUCUCUCAAUCUCUCGACAGUGCCCCAAUUUUCUCCCUCCGCCUCGGAAACCGUCUCGCCGUUGUCGUCUCCUCCUACUCCAUCGCCGAAGAAUGCUUCACAGAAAACGACAUCGUUUUGGCCAACCGGCCAGAGUCCAUAGUCGGGAAAUACAUUGAGUACAACUUCACCACUGUGACCAGUGCGCCUUAUGGUGACCACUGGCGAAACUUGCGGCGUCUCAGUACCCUCGAGAUCUUCUCCUCGCACAAGCUCAAUGGCUUUUUAUCUGUCCGUAAGGACGAGAUCCGACACUUGCUACUUCGUCUCUCCAAAAACUCCCAGCAUGUAUGUGAGCUUGUACAUAACUUGAAGAUUGUACUCUAUAAACAUUAUCAGAGUUUGUAACCUAGUAGUGUGUCUUAGUGUGGCCACUAGGUCAUAACCUGAGUCCGUGCAACACAAGUUUGAGAAUUGAUAAUUUGUUUAUUUGAUUAUAAAUUAGGGGUUUGCGAAGGUGGAGAUGAGAUCAUUGUUUAUGGAUUUGACUAUCAAUAACAUUCUCAGAAUGAUGGCUGGGAAAAGAUUUUAUGGUGAUGGAACAGAGCAAGUGAGACAGCUUAUUGACGAGGUGGUAUCCUACGCCGGCGCCGGGAAUGCUACCGAUUAUAUCCCAAUCUUGCGUUGGAUCACAAGUUUUGAGAAACGGGUUCAAGAACUUAGCCGGGUAGGGUCGAAUGAGUUCUAGCAGAGCCCUGUGGAUUGAAAAAACGUGCGGAUAAAGAAAAGGGCGACACUAAUGAUGGAUCACUUGCUUUCUCUCCAAGAAAUCCAACCUAAUUAUUACACAGAUAUCACUCUAAAGGGGAUUAUAGUUGUAAGUAUUUAUUUUCUACAUUUAUUAAUCUUGAAUAAUCUAUUUAAUAUAUAACAACAUAAACUAAACAUCUGUUAAUUUAAUUUUUACAGGUUAUGAUACUUGCCGGAACUGAAACACUAAUAGGAACAUUAGAAUGGGCUAUGUUGAAUUUGUUGAAUCAUCCAGAGGUAUUAACGAAAGCAAGAACCGAAAUCGAUACCAAAAUCGGUUUUGACCGGUUAAUAGAUGAACAAGAUAUUAAAAAUCUUCCUUAUCUCCAAGGGAUUGUGUUGGAGACCUUACGUCUUCACCCUGUAGCUCCUACACUUGUUCCACAUAUGACGUCAGAUGAUUGCAUUUUAGCUGGAUACGACGUUCUUUGUGGGUCGAUGUUAUUGGUGAACGUAUGGGCCAUGCAUAGAGACCCGUAUAUAUGGGAAGAUCCAGAAAUGUUCAAGCCAGAGAGGUUCGAAAAUGAAAAGGAAAAUCAAAAGGUGUUGUCGUUUGGGAUUGGACGACGAUCAUGUCCCGGGGUUGGAUUAACUCAUCGGUUAGUGAGCUUGGCUCUCGGAUCGAUGGUUCAAUGUUUCAAAUGGGAGAGAAUUGGAGAAGAAUAUAUUGACACUAGAGAGGCACCUAUGAUGCGUCCAGCUACACCGUUACAAGCCAUGUGUAAAACUCGUCCCAUUGUCCAUAAGAUUCUCGAUGCUUUUGCUUGAAUUGUAACUCUUCUUGGUUUGAUUUAUGUUCGGAAAUAUUACAUCAACUUGUUUUGAGUUGGGAAAUAAUUCAAAAUCCUUCUAAGAACGCUUUCAUGCAAACUGUUGAAUGUAUCUUCAAGGUUCUGAUCACCACCUAGCUAAGUCUUUGCGGAAGAUCCUCACUAAAUAUUAUCAUUUUGCCUUCGAAUACAUUGAUGUUGUUGCCCUGAUACAGUUGAAAAAAAAAACAACUAUAGAGACACUCAAAUAAAAAAAAAGUUCAUAGCUUUAAAAUUUGAGAAAAUUUGAAAAAAAUACCUUAUCAUGAGUUUUUAAUUUGAAAAAUACACCAAUUUUUUUUUUUUUGAAAUCUACACUUAUUGAUAAGUAAAAUAACAAAAUUAACCAUAAUUUGAAAUUGAAGUAAUUUUUUAUUUAGAUUGUAAUAUAUUUUAAACAUAUAUAUAUGUAUAUAUAUUUAGAUAUUCUGCACAAAGAAUAUCUAGUUAGUUUCUAUUUUAUUUAACUUUAAUUACCAAACAAUAUUUUAAUUAAAAAAACGUUUUAACUCAAUUCAACGAGACUUCAGAUUCUGUAAAACACAGAUCACACUCAUUUGCACUCACGCCGUCAAAAUCACUAUUCACAAAUUGGUAGAUUUUUUUUCUUUCGUUCUUGAUUUAUAUUUGUCGUAGUAUUAUACUUCUUCUCUUUUUAUUCUCAAAAUGGUUUGUUUUGUUUUUUAUUUAUACAGAAAAAUGGUGCAUAUCGCUGGAGUUUUUGGUGAAUGGCAAGUGAAAAAAGAAUCAUGGAAAUUCAUCGUGAAUACUAAAAAAAGAGGUAAAUUAUUCACGAUUAGGGAUGAUUUGAAGUUUGCUGAUAUGGUUUGAAGUUUGCUGAGAUGGCCGAGUCUAUAAAUGUUGUGUUCAAAAAGCCUCGUGAGCUACCCAUUGUCUCAUUGAUUGAGGUAAUAAAGAAUACACUAACACGGUGGUUUUUUUAUCGUCGAGAAAGUGCUGCGAAACUUACUUCUUCUCUCACACCUAAAGUUGAAAACAAGCUCAAUAAACGGUGUGAUUUGUCUGAUACUUUCGAUGCGCAGCCCAUAAAUCAAUAUGAGUUUCAGGUAACCGAUGGCUCCCAAAAUUUUUUGGUUGAUCUACAACGGAUGACUUGUACAUGUCAAGUGUUUAGUAUUGAUAAGAUCCCCUGUAAGCAUGCUGCUAAAGCUGCAAAAAGUCGAGGCAUAGACCCUGGGUUAUAUGUACAUCCGUACUACUCAAAGUCAUACUUGUGUGCUGCAUAUUCAGAGAGCAUAAGACCUGUAGGUGAUAUUUCAGAAUUGAGCGAAAUACCUGCUGAUAUUGUUGGUCAGAUAUGCUUACCUCCAGAUGUCCGAAGGAAACCAGAAAGACCCGUAAAAAGAAGAUAUCAAAGUGUUGGAGAACAAGCAAUGAGGAAAAAAGCACGCAAACAAUGUUGUUCAAGAUGUCAUCGUUCAGGACACAAUCGUGCGAGAUGUGACUUUGGAAUUUGAUUUUUAUUUUUUAUUUGGUUUGAAACUCUGUUUUUCAUUUCGUAAACUUUUUUCACUCUUCCUUGAAUUGGGAUUUUACAUAUUCUGGUUUUAUAUUAUUUGUAUGCAGACUCUCUCUUUCAAUUUCUCUUAUAUCACCAGUUUGCUAAUGCGUCCUUUUUUUCUUGGUCUUUUCCAAAUCAGUAAUACUAGUAAGUGCAUUACCGUUCUUGAAAUCAAUGAGAAAAUUGAAGAUCUUGAACAAAAUCAAGUUUAAACCUUAUUGCUUUUUUGAAGAUUCAUUGGUUCGCUCCAAUCCUCGAAAUGCAUUUGAUCGCUCAAAGUAUGUUGCCUCAAUGAGACAGACUCAACUUGGUAAUUUGAUCGUUGCUUUUUUUUCAUUCUGAAAACGAUAGUCUGCAUUGAUUAAUGUUGCAUGAGUCUAGUUGUGUGACUUAGGUUGUGGUGCUUGACGAGAGAGGCCGUGACAUUAACUCAGAGCAGAUGGCUGAUUUACUAGGCGAUGCAGGAAAUAGUGUAAGCUUAUACCUUCUCUUUGUUCUUACAUCACCCAUAUCUGUUUUCAGGGAGCUUCAAGGAUAUCGUUUUGUAUAGGUGGACCUUAUGGACAUGGAAGAUAAGUGAGGAAGCGAGCUAAUGUGACCAUUAGACUUUCCUCCAUGGUUCUGAAUCAUCAGAUAGCUCUUGUGGUCUUGAUGGAACAGCUUUACAGGUGAAACCAUUGUUGCUUCCGUCUGUGUGUGCGUCCCAGUUACACUUAAUUUCAAGUUUUUAUAGCCUCGCCGGUUGUGCGUUCAUAUGAUGUGAUGGGGUUUUCUGUUUUCAGGUCAUGGACUAUUCUCAAGGGACAAAAUUACCAUCAUUCAGGAUGUAUGAAUCUCUAUUUUUGGUGUUCUUCUUUUGCUUUCUUGUGCUUAAAGAAACUGGAUUGCUAAAAAGACUUUCUGCUUAUAAUGUAUCAGAAAUUGUUUAUUGAACGUGAAAACGUUUGUAAUCCAAAGUUUAUUGCUUCUGAUCUUGGCUUAGAUUUGAGUCAUCCGAGUGCAAUAUCUGAUUUUGUAUGUUGCAUAUUGUUCUCAUCAUAUAGAGAUUGAAUGAAUGUAGAAGCGAUUGUGGCUGUUCAACAAAUGAUCCUCUCUCCACAUAUCUCCAUAUAAAGGGAAGGAGAUAGGAGACGCUUUAUGAACGUAGAUCAUCUUCCCUUCUUUGAAUCUAGAUUCUUCUCUUGUGUUUGAUUUCCGUUUUGAAGAGUGAAGAGUAAAACGCAAUGUUUUCAGAUUCUAUUUUCAAUACAGUGUUUAUUAGACUUUUUUCUGAUAAUCAAAAGUAAUAACACUCUGUGCAUUAUUCCAUUCUCAUGGAGAUGUGAAACUGCAAAGACAAUUUCUGCAGUCUACACACGAGCCAAGUCCUCUCUAUGAAAAACAAAACAUAGAACUAGUCAGUCCUAUAAUAGUUGCAAAAAGGAAUUAAACUAAACCUGAAAAGCCCUUGGUGAGAGAGCUUGAAGAAUUAAAUGCCCUCCGUUUAUGAAGUCCAUCACAAGAUACAGACUAUACUUAGUCUGCAGAAAAAGAAAAGAAAAACAGGUUCGUAUAGUGCUAUGAUAGCUCAAGAAAACAGAGAAAAUGGAUAAAGUUUGAUUUUGCAAGAUUAGCAAACGAGAUUUGCUCCAGUCUCUUCGCUCUGCUUGUGAUGCUGCUGGUUCUCUUCUUGUUUUCGAUAAGGUACAUAGAAGGAACAGAGAAGCUGAGUCUAGCAAAGGUUUGAGCAAAUUUGAAGUGAGAAUCAAAGAGCUUGAGAUUAAUGCCAAGGGACGAGAAGUUUAAUUAUUGACCUUCGGGGAAGAGUUUCAUUAGCGUUUUAGAAACAAAGAUUUUCUUUUAUAAAGUCUUGUGAAGUCUGCAAGAUUUUCUUUUAUGAGAUUUAUGAGUAAAGCAAAAAAGUAUCUAAAGAAAAGAGUAAUGUAAAGAUCACAAUGUGAUUCAUCUAUUAGAUUUCUAAAAAAAAAAUAUAACUAAAUAGGAAAACCAAGUGAGAAGCAAUCCAACGAAAAACCAAACAAUAAGAAUCAAUGAAUCAAUUAUAAGAAAAGAACUUCCAAAUAAAAGAAAACUAAGAAAAGAAGAAUACGUUCUUAAAACUCAAAACCCAAAAAAUACAUCUAAAGAUUCUGAAAAUGGUUGGCUUCUCCGAACAUAUCCGUUGCAAACUUUUGCCGGAUAUCACUGAUGUUUUCAUCUGACAGUCCAACAUUCAUAUCUAUGUCUAAGGCAAGACACUCGAUAUACUUCAUAGCAUAUACUCCACAAUCACCCGUUUGAGUGUUCUGUGGAAUUCUUCUACAUCUUGAUACUGUGUACUCAUCAGUACUUAAUCCGUAUUGGUCAGCUGGUGAAGCCAAUGAUUUGAGAAGAUAUGGAAGCAUAUGUGCAUAUGGCCUCACCAACUCUGUUAUCUCAUCAUCGCUAGUUAGCGAAAUGAUACUGUCGUACACUUCAAUAUGCUGGUGAGGAAUUGAGAUAGCCAAAGCAAUCCAAUGAACACUUUUAAUGUUUAGCACAAGGUAGACAUCAUCGACAUCAACGCCAAGUCUCUUAUUUGUACUUUCACACCUUGGUAAAACACCUUUAUAGUAAUCAAUUAACUCACCGCUCCAGUCAAAGUUUCUCUGGUUUUGUGAGAACUUUGGGUAGACUUUUGAUAUCACUUUUCUUCAUUGUUUUUUUGUUCGGAUAUGUGUGAUCUAAUUCUGUCUUUCUUUUUCCAUCAAUUUCUUUCUGAAACUUGUACUCCAUCUCUAACAAAACCUAUGAAAAAGAAGAAAAGAAUUCAAAUAUGUGGUAAUUUUUAAUAACCAAAUCAUUCAUUGCAACUAAAAAACAAAAUAAAUAUAGGAAAGCAUCACAAAUCGAGAUACCGUAUUGCUGUGUUGUUCUUCUGCUCCCUUCUCUGUUUUUUUUUUCUUAGAAAAAGAAAGACGUCAACGACUUGUUUAUAUAACAAAUUGAAAAAAAAAAAAUUUUUAUCGAGAUAAAGUUGAAAUUUUUUUAAAGAUUUAUCCAAUUAAUUAAUGUGAUUAAUGAGAUAUCUUUAUCUCAAAUAAAAAUUCAAUCAUAAUAAUUAUUAUUUCGAGUUUUUCUUUUUAUUUAAAUAGAUAGUGUUAGUUAAAUUUUGGUCAAAACGACUUUAAACAUAAAUCAAAAGUGUAGUUUUUAAAAGAAAAAAAAAUGGUGUAUUUUACUAAUUCAGAAACUUAAAUAGUGUAUUUUGCUAAUUAUCCCUUAAAAUUUCUUGUAUAUUUUGAAAUUAACUAAAAGUAAACUAUAUUGCUUAUACUGAUAUUUCCGUUUCUUCACAGUAUGAUCUAUUGAUUUUUGCAACCCUCUAUAUUUGUAUUGUUGCACAGCUACUUAUAUUUCCCUUUCAUUACAAUGUGAUAUAAUAUUUCUUGUAAGUUUUGCAAUCCACUACAUAUCAUUUUUCCCAGAGUCAACUUAUCUUCGUGUUUGUAUAUUGAGUAUUACAUUUGUACUUUUACAAUUCUUUUUUUUUUUAUAAUCUUGAAGUGCUCUAGGAAUUAUAAUUAUUAUAUCAUGUUGGAUUUUUAAGAAUUUUGGUUUUUAUGAUAUUUUGUAAAAAAUUAGAGAGUGAUGUGUUUCUAGGGACAAAAGACGAAGACUUGAAAAAUCAACCCUGGUGUUUUUCCUUCUUGUCCCAUUAAAAAUCUCAGUUUUCUCUUCAAUCUUAUCAACUUCCUCAGAAUCCUCUUCACAUCGACCACAGGUUUCUUCAUCCAUCGACUUAUUGAAAUUUCUUGUAGUAUAAGUUAAACCAAAAUGUGUGGAAACUAUUCAACACAAAAGACUUUUCACUCUCUUCUUUCAACGUGAAUAACACUUCGUACGAAGGACUAAAUGGUGAGCCAAGCGAAGCUGAGUGGAAAUGGAGCACUGACUAUAUGUAUAUAAAGAGAUGGCAUGAAACCAAUUUAACCAUCACAAUUUCCAUUUGCUCGCUUCUUUUUCGCUAUUGAUUUUCAAGAAAGUUAAAAAUUAGCUUAAAGAAAAAACGAAAGGCUCUUGAAACUCAAUGAGUAUCAUUCAUAUUUCUCUUUCUUUUCUCCUCUUGUUCGUUUUUUAUUUUCAUGACGUGUUUGCGUCUCCUACUAGACACUUGUGUCGUCCGGAGCAAAGGGAUGCACUUCUCGAGUUCAAGAAUGAGUUUGAGAUUCGGAAGCCUUCUUUUCGGUGUUAUGUUAAUGGUCGCUGGGUAAACCCGUACCCGAAGACGGAGUCAUGGGCAAAUAAUACUGAUUGUUGUUAUUGGGAUGGUAUCAAGUGCGAUGCCAAAUCCGGGGAAGUGAUCGAGCUAGACCUCAGAUGCAGCUCUCUCUACGGCAAGUUUCGUUCCAAUACCAGUCUGUUUAGGCUUCGUAACUUUCGUUUUCUCACCACUCUAAACCUUUCACGGAAUGAGUUACAUGGUCAAAUCCCGUUUUCAAUUGGAAAUCUUUCUCUUCUUACUUCUCUCGACCUUUCUUCCAAUGGGUUUUCGGGUCAGAUUCCAUCUUCAAUUGGAAAUCUUUCUCUUCUUACUUCUCUCGACCUUUCUGAAAACGGGUUUUCGGGUCAGAUUCCAUCUUCAAUUGGAAAUCUUUCACUUCUUACCUCUCUUGAUCUUUCUUUCAAUCAGUUUUCGGGUCAGAUUCCAUCUUCAAUUGGAAAUCUAUCACUUCUUACCUCUCUCGACCUUUCUCUUAAUCAGUUUUCGGGUCAGAUUCCAUCUUCAAUUGGAAAUCUUUCCCUCUAUCUUAACAGACUCUCUGGUGAAAUCCCAGAUUCUUUUGCCAGUUUGAAAAAUUUGACGAGGUUAGAUGUUAGUUUCAAUAAGCUUAGUGGUAAUUUUCCAAUUUGGCUACUAAAUUUGACAGAGUUGUCGGAUUUAUCACUCGAUUCCAAUCAACUCACAGGAACGCUUCCCUCAAACAUUAGCUCACUCUCCAACUUGGUGAAUUUUUACGCAAGUGACAACGAUUUCGUUGGAACCAUUCCUUCUUCUCUCUUCACCAUUCCUUCUUUGAGAAUAAUUUAUUUGUCAGAUAACCAACUCAACGGCACUCUCGAGUUUGGGAAUAUAUCUUCACCAACAAAGCUAGUCGUGUUAAUGCUUGGCGGUAACAACUUGAGAGGGCCAAUCCCGAGAUCCAUUUCCAAAUUAGUCAACCUCUAUUACCUUGACCUUUCCAAUUGGAACACCCAAUUAGGCCCAAUUGACUUGAGUAUCUUCUCGCAUCUCAAGUCACUCCGAAUUCUUGACUUAUCCCAUUUGAACACCACCACUACGAUUGACUUGAAUGCCAUCUUAUCAUGUUCUCAGUUGCUGGAAACAUUGGAUCUCUCAGGCAACCAUGUUUCAGCCGAAAACAAGAGCUCAGUUUCAGAUCCUCCUUCGCAAAUGAUACGAGAAUUAAACUUGUCAGGCUGCGGUAUUACCGAAUUUCCAGAGAUCAUAAGAACCCAGCAGUCAAUGAGGAGUCUAGACAUUGCCAACAACAAAAUCAAAGGUCAAGUGCCUGGCUGGUUAUGGACUCUACCAAAUCUGACGUACGUGAAUCUUUCCAACAACACUUUCGUCAGUUUCGAAAGACCAACGAAACAUGGACUAUCCUCUGCCGUGGAGUACUUGUCUGGCUCCAGAAACAAUUUCACAGGAAAGAUUCCCUCCUUCAUAUGCGCGUUGGGCUCUCUAAGCGUUCUCGAUUUAUCUGAAAACAACUUCAAUGGUUCAAUCCCUCUUUGUAUGGAGAAUCUCAAGAGUAAUCUUUCGGUUCUAAACCUCCGUCAGAAUCAUCUUAUCGGAGGCCUUCCGGAGAAUGUAUUUGAAAGUCUAAGGUCCCUUGACGUUGGUCAUAACCAACUGGUGGGAAAGCUUCCAAGAUCUUUGAUCCAUUUCUCUGCCCUUGAAGUUCUUAAUGUGGAAAGAAACAGAUUCAACGACACCUUUCCGUUUUGGUUGAGUUCUCUACCAAAGCUACAAAUUCUUGUCUUACGCUCCAAUGCAUUCCAUGGACGGAUACAUCGAGCCUCCUUCCUUCAGUUAAAAAUCAUGGACAUCUCGCAUAAUUACUUCAACGGAGUUUUGCCAUCGGAUUACUUUGUGAACUGGAGUAAAUUGUCAUCACUUGGGACAGAAAAAGAUCGGUCGGAUGUAAACUACAUGGGAGAAGGUACCUAUUACGAAGAUUCAAUGGUUUUGAUGAAUAAAGGUGUAGCAUUAGAGCUGGUACGUAUCCUGAAAAUCUUCACAGCACUCGACUUCUCCGGAAAUAGAUUUGAAGGAGAAAUUCCAAGGUCCAUCGGCCUAUUGAGAGAGCUUCAUGUGCUCAACUUGUCAAACAAUGCUUUCACUGGCCACAUUCCAUCAUCUAUGGGUAACCUGACAGCUCUCGAGUCACUAGACGUUUCUCAAAACAAGCUUUCAGGAGCGAUCCCACAAGAGCUAGGGAAUCUCUCGUACCUUUCUUCCAUGAACUUUUCCCAUAACCAGCUUGUCGGUCUUGUACCUGGAGGCACUCAGUUCCGAACGCAGUCUUGCUCUUCCUUCGAAGACAACCCUGGACUUUUUGGCCCUUCUCUUGACGAAGUUUGCAAAGAUAUACACAAGACAUCAUCGCAAGAGAAUGAAACACCGGAGGAGGCAGAGGAAGAAGACGAAGAGGUGUUUAGUUGGAUUGCAGCUGCAAUAGGAUUUGGACCUGGCAUUGUAUUAGGAUUGACGAUUGGAUACAUAUUGGCCUUCUACAAACCGAGGUGGUUCACGAGUCCUUUUGGCCGAAACAAACACAGAAGCAGAAGCACCACAGCUCAUUAAGAGAGGUAAUCUUCUGAAUUUCAU
rnacentral:lncRNA from 1 species